CUAUAGAAUAUUUUAUCUUUUAAAAUAUCCCUUUAAAAAGAUUAAUUAUUAUGUAGCUGAGUAUAUUUCUAUCUUUUGCUUUUUCUAUAAAGAUAGUUAUGCGUUACCUGGUAUUGUAAAGUUUCAUACAUCAAAGGUAAACAUUCUGAUCUAUGAUUUGUGCUCAUGGAAUUCCACAAUGCCAGCGAAUUAGAUUUAGAUUUGAUUGCAACGAAUCUAAGCAGAUCACCCAUGAUCAUUCUGUAAAUCAUUACAACGAAUGGACCAACGGUUUUGAAGCCUCUACAAAAAAAUAAAAAAUAUGGUGCUGUCGUUAACAUGACGACUACAGCAAGCAUAUCUUCAACUUCGUCGGCGCAAGUUAAUCUCAACGCUGGAAAUGAAAGUAAAAGGC